rnacentral:rRNA from 1 species
AGGUCUACGGGACGCAGCAGUGAGGAAUACUGGUCAAUGGCCGGAAGGCUGAACCAGCCAAGCCGCGUGAAGGACGAAGGUGCCAAGCAUUGUAAACUUCUUUUGUCAAGGGACAAAAUCAGGCUCGAGAGCCUGACCGAGGGUACUUGAAGAAAAAGCAUCGGCUAACUACGUGCCAGCAGCCGCGGUAAUACGUAGGGGGCAAGCGUUAUCCGGGUUUACUGGGUGUAAAGGGAGCGUAGACGGAGGAGCAAGUCUGAUGUGAAAAUCCGGGGCCCAACCCCGGAACUGCAUUGGAAACUGUU